UACGUAGGAUCCAAGCAUUACCCGGAAUUACUGGGCGUAAAGAGUUGCGUAGGUGGCAUGUUAAGCAGAGUUUGAAAUAGUGUGGCUCAACCAUGCACCCAAAUUCUGAACUGGCAAGCUUGAGCAUGAGAGAGGUAACUGGAAUUCCCGGUGUAGGAGUGAAAUCCGUAGAUAUCGGGAGGAACACCGAUGGCGUAGGCAGGUUACUGGCUCAUUGCUGACACUCAGGCACGAAAGCGUGGGGAGCGAACUGG
rnacentral:rRNA from 1 species